GCCUGGGUGGCUCAGUGGUUGAGCAUCCGACUUUGGCUCCGGUCAUGAUCUCGCGGUCUGUGAGUUCGAGCCCCGCGUCGGGCU
rnacentral:tRNA from 1 species